ensembl:snRNA U1 U1 spliceosomal RNA
AGACAUGACCUGGCAGGGGCAAUACCAUGAUCACGAAGGUGGUUCACCCAGGGCGAGGCUCUGCCAUUGCACUUGGGUGGUGCUGACCCUUGCGAAUUCCCCAAAUGUGGGAAUCUCGACUGCAUAAUUUCUGGUAGUGGGGGACUGCGUUCGUGCUCUCCCCUG